UUAUAUAUUGUCAUCAUAAUCCCCAUAGCCUUGUCCCUGUUAUUUGGGGUCAGCUUUACAAAUCCCAUUUCACGAAUCAAUCUUAAUGCCUUAUCCAUUGCUAUGUAAACAAGCCUUCACAUCCUCAUUUUACAAAUCUUGUUAACCUACGGAGGAGAGGUCCUUGAGUAGGAAUGACUGGUGAAACAGGUCAUAAAAUGACACAAAAUAGCUGGGAUGAGGCUAUGAUGAUGAUGACAUUGAUGAUUAAUUAGCUAUUGCAUGUUACUUUAGGGUGCAUUGGUUUUUAAUUUGGUGAAAAUUUUCAUGAUAUGUCAUGAGAUGUGGUGCAUCCAAACACCCCCUUAGUCAAAUUACUACAUAUUGCAGUUUUAAUCAAUUUAUUUGGCCAUUAUAUUUUCAGGUAUGUAUGCUACCAAAGAUCAAGAUCAUUUCCCAUGAGCUAAAAACCAAAAUGGUUACAUGAUGCUAAUGCUUCAUUGAAAGACUAUAAUGCAGUGAACAUAAGUUUGUCUUCUCAUGAUUGGUGGCCGUUUCUCUAAAUCGUUACUUAAAGAUUUAGUGGAACUCAUUAUAAAGUUGGCAUAUAAGCUAGGAGAGCUUGUAAAGCCCAUUUACUCAUGGUUGAAGUGGGAAAAGUACUAAUGUGAUGCACCAAGAUAGAAGAAUAGAGCAGUUUCCAGGUCUCAAUACCUCUGCAAAUAUGACAAUGCCAUUAAUUAAUCAAUCUAAAUAUAUCUUAUGCAUCUAUCCUACUAAAUUCCACAAUUGCCUCACCCUGUUAUUCUGGAUAGUGAUGCAUGAGAGGGAAGAAGUAGAACACCAUGAGGUGUACCACUAACACUAGCAGCUGUACCUUUUGAAAGUAUCACACAUGUGUGAGUGUCUGUGUGUGUGUGUGCGUAUGUGCGUGCAUGUGUCAUAUAUGCACGCACACAUAGCAUGCAUAUCCAUAUAUACAUAUCCAUGUAAAUAUACAUAUUUACAUGUUUGCAUGUUAUAUAAGGAAAUGCUGUAGUGGUAAUGUUACCACUGAAGUUACGUAGGUAAUGGUUGAAAAUGAGCUCCACAAGGUGUGUAUGACAUUGGACCCGUGCAUUAGGUGCAUCCAACCCUCCUCCCCAUACAAGAAGGCCAAUCCAAGCAUCUAUGCAUCACACAAUGGGAAACAAUGAGGAUGGAUGUCCACAACAGAAUAACCUGAAAUUUAUUAUGGGGUCCCCCGAGGUGUGUAUGUUAUCUAACCCAUGCAUUUGGUGCAUCCUACCAUGAUGAUUAAAUGCCACAAGAAUUAGUCCAAUCCAACCAUCAGGUCAGCAUUUUUACAUUAUUUUCUGUGUAGCCCCCAUCAUGAUGUGGCAAAUGGCUUUGACGGUUUGGAGUAGAAGAAGGGAGGCUUUAGAGGGAGGUGAUAAUUUGCAAAUAUGGGUUGUUGGAUGCGGUUGGUGGGUGAAAGAGUCAUCCUUCUAUAGAACAUCGGGUUUGUGAAGAAGGGUGUGCAAGUUGGCGAACUUAUUCAAGGAAGGGCUUCAAUUCUCCUGUGGUGAUGGGCAAAGAAUCAAGUUUUGGGUUGACUGUUGGAUGGGGGAUAGACCUCUUGAGUAGUUCCUGAGGAGAAAUCUCUCGGAUGAGGAAGCGGUGGAGCUCACCAGGCUUCUGGUGACUUCAUGGGGUUAGGUUGACGGUUGGCAAUAGAGUUGAUGCUUUGGUCCAUGGUCAAAUCAGGCGAUUUAUAGUUCGGUCUUUCUACAAGAUAUUGUCAUUGUGUUCCUCAAGUGGAAGGUGUGAUCAUACUUCUCAUUUUUGGCACUAUGGGGCUCCUUCUAAGGUUGUAGCCUUUGCGUGGCUUGCAGGUAGGAACAAGGUGCUCAUAAUAGACAAUCUGCAAAACAGAGCUAUGUUGAUUCCUGAUUGUUUGUAUGAUAUGCAUGGGGGACGUAGAGUCAAUGAACCACUUGUUCAUUCAUUGCGCGUUUGCUCGUGUUCUUUGGGGAAGUUUUCUUGCUCUUUUCCAUGUCUUGUGGGUGAUGUAGAGAUCCAUCAACGAUCUUGUCCUUAUCUGGCAUAGGGGAGCAUAUGGAAGGAAAGAUGAGGUGGCAUGGAGACUGGUCUUAUUGGCAAUCUUAUGGGCAAUAUGGGGGGAGAGGAACAAUCGGCUUUUCCGGAAAGUGAAGUUGGAUGUUUUAGAUUGGGUCAAUUGGAUUGUUGCCUCUAACCUAAGCGCUUGGGUUGAGAUGGUUGGGCCUUUGUUGUAAAAAAAUUUUUGCCAUCUUGGCUCUUAUUAAUAAAGAUUUCAUUUACCUUUCACCAAAAAAAAUUUAAAAAUAAAAAAUAAUUCAUGGUGCAUGUGUACCAUCCAAUCCAUGCAUUUGGUGUGCCCUUCCAAGAUUUUGGGAUGCCCUAAAAAUCAGCCCAAUCCAAUGGUCAGGUAGGCCCUUCACCACUUGAAUUCAUAGGAUCUUAGGCAUUUUUCAUUGUUUUCUAAGUUGUGGCCCACUUGAUGGUUGGAUUGCCUUGAUUGCUGGGACAUGCCAUUUUCAUGGAGGGGCACACUUGUUUGAUAGAUUGGAUUUCAUACACACUCCACAUGGGCCCCAUUUUGGACGUUUUACCAUUAUAACUAUACUAUGGUAAUGUUACCAUGUGUGUGUGUAUCCAACUGGGGCAAAUGGGUUGGGUCACAAUGAUGUGUAGUUGAAAUCCACUCCGACAAUCAGAUCCAUCACAUCACGUUAGAGCCACUGUAAAAAGUCAGGCCAAUCUGUGGUUCAGGUGGGCCGCACCAAGGGUAAUAGUUGGGAGGGAAUCCCCACUCUUGAUUUCACUGUUGCCCACUUGAAUUGUAAAAUGGCCUGAUUUUUGGGCCCUGGGCGUAACCUGGGGUGAAGGAUCUGAUGGUUGGAGUGGAUGUCACAUAACACAUUGGAUCUUGUACAAAAUCAAGAGUGGGUGCUCCCUCUUUACUGUUUUCCUUGGCUAGAGUGGAUAUCACAUACAUGGCAUUGUGGCUCAUCUGAAUCAUGGAUGACCCCAAUUUGUUGGCCUAAUGGUUGGAGUGGAUUUCAUAUACACAUCAUGGUGGUCCACACCACUUUGCACGCACGACUGGUCUCCUGUGGCGCGCUGACACUACUUGUAGGAGACCAUUACUUGCUCUCUCUCUCUCUCUCUCUCUCUCUCUCUCUCUCUCUCUCUCUCUCUCUCUCCACCAACACACGCAUGCCCGCAUGCACACACACACAACUGGUUGGACAAUAAGUUACUGUCUGCCUAGUAGAUAACUUCCAACUUAUCAUGUGUGUUCGACAUCCACCUCACCAUUAGGUUGGCCCCACCAUGAGGAUGGCUUAAUUGGGUGGGAAGGACCCACCAUGUUGUGUAUAUGCCAUCUAGUCCAGUCACAUGAAGCAUCUGUCCCAGAUGAAGGGAUAUCAUGGUCAUCAGGUGGUUUUGACACUCUAGUCAGCCCCAUUUGAAAUCUAUCCUUCAACGAAGAAUUGUUUGUCCAUUGCAUGAUCGCAAAAUGAGCAAUAUGCAAAACAGUGAAGCAAAGGGAGGGAGCAGAUGAGGCGAGGGAUAGAAAAAUGUGCAAUACAUGCACGCACACACAUUUGGAAGAUUAGAUUGGAUGGAUAAAUAAAAAUCAACCUAACACUUUAAUCACAUUUAUGGUGCAUUUGAUGCACUAUUCCAUUGAAUUGCAAUGAUUAGUUUUAUUAAGCAUAAAUAAACACAUUUUGGUUAUUCCCAAUUCAAUUCAUUGGCACAUAUUUUAGUUACAUUUCUCUCAAAUCUUUCUACCCUCCAAUCUCAGGAGAUUCUGUGAAAAGGGAGUUGGGACACUGAU